UUGGGAAUCGUUCACAAUGCGCGAAAGCGUGAUGACGCAAUGCCGCGUGGAGGAAGACGGCCUUCGGGUUGUAAACUUCUUUUCUCUGGGACGAUUAUGACGGUACCAGAGGAAUAAGGACUCGCUAACUACGUGCCAGCAGCUGCGGUAAUACGUAGGGUCCGAGCGUUAUCCGGUAUCAUUGGGCGUAAAGAGCGCGUAGGCGGUGGGGUGUGACAAUGGUUAAAUCUCCAUGCUCAACAUGGAAACUGCCGUUGUGACUGCCUCACUUGACGAUAGCAGGGGCAAGCAGAAUUCUCGGUGUAGGAGUGAAAUCCGUUGAGAUCGAGAGGAAUACCAAUGGCGAAGGCAGCUUGCUAGGCUAUAUGUGACGCUGAGGCGCGAAAGCGUGGGGAGCGAACGGG
rnacentral:rRNA from 1 species